UUCUCUCUCUCCCUCUUUCUCUCUGCCCUCCCUUGCUCACACUCUCUCUCUUUCAAAAAUAAAUGAACUUAAAACAUAAAAAUGGGGCUUCAGAAAGCCCACCCUGCUAAAGUGCUCCAAACAGCAAUAAUGAUCUCACACUCACAAAAUGGCUAAUUGUGAAACCUGUUGUUGAUUCUGUUUUCCUCAGUAAAACAUCAACCCUAUAUGAAGUCCGUGCCCUGCUGUAUCACCCCCAGGGCACUGGCGAAUGCUCUGGGUGAAGUGUGGAGGUUGGACUGGGGGUGGGGGGAGAAGACCCACUAAGGGGUGGUGGAAGUGGGGGCUGUGGAGGGAAAUGGAGGCUGGCAGAAAGACACAGGGGCUGGAGUGGCCCUGGCAAAGGCCCAUUUUACAGAUGAAGAAACUAAGGCUCAGCUAGGUGAUACUAGAUCUGGCCUUUCCUUUCUGCAAAACUUACCUUUUUUCCUUUGGAGACACGGAGUGCCAGGUGAACAAUUCUCCAGGAGGACAGAAAUCCGGCAAUGUGGAUGUGAAGACGCAGGAUCCAGCCAGGGCAGGAGAGAAGGACCCGUGCCAGACAUGCCUGAUUCCACGCAUCAUCCCUUUUGUCUACCUUGUGGCGGGUUGGUCCCCCGGGACACAGACUCUGAGCCAGGCUACACGGAUCAAAGGCCACUGACCAGCUCAGGGACUGGCUGUGUUUGGGACCCUCCAAGAGUAUCAGCUAGUCUCUUCGAGUCAUGAUCUCCCUACAAGGUGAACCAUUGGGGAAAUACAUGUCACAAAGUGUCAUCUCAGACCACCUGCAGGACACAGCCUCCAGGCUAACUGGGAGCCACGCUGGAUGGGAGGACAUUUUGCAUCCUGCUGUGAGCAUCACCCGUGAGCACACAAAUUAUGUAGCCGACCCUGACCCGAAGCAGCACCUGAGAAGUGUCACUGGGACCAGGCAGGAACCUCCACACUAUUUUCCAGAGUGGCUGCACCAGUUUGCA